UACGUAGGGGGCAAGCGUUGUCCCGGAUUUACUGGGCGUAAAGCGUGCGCAGGCGGUUUUGUAAGUCUGUCGUGAAAGCCCCGGCUCAACCUGGGAAUUGCGAUGGAGACUGCAAGGCUUGAAUCUGGCAGAGGGGGUAGAAUUCCACGUGUAGCAGUGAAAUGCGUAGAGAUGUGGAGGAACACCGAUGCGAAGCAGCCCUGGGUCAAGAUUGACGCUCAUGCACGAAGCGUGGGAGCAACAGGA
rnacentral:rRNA from 1 species